rnacentral:rRNA from 1 species
UUCUUUAAGGAAAAAAUUUAAAGUAUCUUCUGCUCAAUGAUUUUUUAAAUAGCUGCGUUCGCACUAAGGUAGCAUAAUAAUUAGUUUUUUAAUUAGAAACUGGAAUGAAAGAAGGAAUGAGGAAAAUUUUUCUUAAUUUUAAAUUAAUGAAAUUAAAUUUUUAGUAAAAAUGCUAAAAUUUUUUUUAGGGACAAGAAGACCCUAUGAAGCUUUAUAAAUUAAAAAUUGAAAGAAUUUAUUUUGUUGGGGCAACACUCUAAGAGAAAAGUUUAGAGAAUAAAUUAAAUUAAAAUAUAUUUUAAAGGAACCAUAAUUUAUGGAUGUUUGAUUAAGUUACUCUAGGGAUAACAGCAUAAUUUAAAUUGGAAAGUACAUAUUGAUAAUUUAGUUUAUGACCUCGAUGUUGAAUUAAUAUAACUUUUUGGUGAAGGAAUUAAAAAAGUUAGNNUGUUCGACUAUUAAAAUAUUACA